rnacentral:rRNA from 1 species
CAGUAGCCACGGGAAUACGAAGGGGGCUAGCGUUGCUCGGAAUGACUGGGCGUAAAGGGCGCGUAGGCGGUUUAUACAGUCAGAUGUGAAAUUCCUGGGCUCAACCUGGGGACUGCAUUUGAUACGUAUGGACUUGAGUGGAGAAGAGGGUCGUGGAAUUUCCAGUGUAGAGGUGAAAUUCGUAGAUAUUGGAAAGAACACCGGUGGCGAAGGCGGCGACCUGGUCUUUAACUGACGCUGAGGCGCGAAAGCGUGGGGAGCAAACAGGAUUAGAUACCCCGGUAGUCCCUGUCUCUUAUAC